GCCUGCACCCUAGGCUGCACUCCCGUAUCCAGGAACCACCUCUUUUUACAGCAGGAAGAGGGCAACCAGAGAGGGCGAGAGCGCAGCCCACGGUCACCCACAAGCUUCAGAACAAAGUUGGCAGCGUGAGGAGUCUGGGUUCGAAUCCUAGCACAGCCCGUCAUAUCGCUAGCAGUUAAAACCUCAGCCUCCUCCGCGCGCCCCGCAGCGCAGGCACCCACCGCCCAGCCGCAGCCUGCGUUCUGUCUGCAGCCCAAGGGGAAGUGUGCGUGCGCGUCUCCACUGGCAACGGCGGUCGCCCGGCAACCCGUUUUUCUGCCACUUAUUUGGCAAGAGGCCGGGUGGCCUGCCUCUGCUCUCCUGGGAAAAGUAUGACAGCACGAGAGACUCAAAGAUGUCCUUCCUGCCCAGCAAGAGAGUCACCUCUCCCAGGAAGCCCUCCUGGCUGACCUCACCUGCUCAGACGGCUCCUCCCAACUGCCAUGGCCUCUGUCCCUCUCAUGUGGUCCUACCCCGUGGCUCUGCCCUAUGGCUCAGGGCUCUGUUUAUAGCACACAGAGUGUGUGUGGGCCUGGCUCCCUGUCAGAUAGGACCCAUGCACAAACAAAUCCAACAUCCCUCGGGUUCCUGGAGGCUCCCGUAACCCCUGAUCCUUCCUUGACUUGAGCCCGUUCCCUUGUCCCUCGGCCCCAGCUCUGAGCUAAGCUCUCAGAACCUUUGGCCUUUUCUCAGGACUUCAGAGGUCAUUUGGUUGACCCCCAAGCCUGCUACCCAGUGCCCUCUCCAGGCUCGCUUGCAUGGCACAAUGACAGAGAGCUCAUGACCCCCCUCACAGGACAUCUGAAAAUCCUUUCUGCGAUUAAAUUGCCCGCCCUGCCCAGGGAAGAACAAGCCAUGUCUCCUCUCUCCAGGAGAGACAGGCACACCUGUGAAGACUGCUCAUAGCCCCCACUGCAGUGAUCUCCGAAUGUCCCUAACGUGGGUUCCUCCCAAUUGUGAGCCCCUCCCAACCUGGCUACUCUUUCUUCUCUGCUCUCCAACGCCACAUCUAUCAGGAGCCCAAACCCUUGAAGGCCCUCUGCUGGGCAGGGCAGUCCAGCCACUUGAGAAGAUGACUCUGAGCUAGGUCUCUCUUCUGAUGUCCAAGUUUUGUCCCACAGGCUUUGGGGAGCCUCACCCAGGAUGAGAAGGGGUCUUAGGGCAGAAAUAAAGCCUGGGAUGCAUGAGCCCUGGUGAUGUGUCCCUGGAGUCAGCCAGAUGCCUAUUCAGCCCCUGCCAUGAAACUGGCCAGGCAACUCACCAGGGCCUUGCCGUGGGCAAGCGUCUCUUUCCCAGUCAUCCUGAGGGGAAGGCUGAGUAGACAAAGCUAGUGAAAUACUCGGAACAGAGCAAAUACCAAUGUCUUUAAGCAUAUUUGUUUCUUUAGCAAAGAUGAUGACUUCCUUCUGUGAGCUCACUCACGGUGUUGAAUGCCAACUCACCGUUUACCUGUUUCCUUGGACCAACCAGCCAAGGAAGGGUUAGACCUGGAGGUGCUACUUUGCAGAUAGAGGCCCUGGGGGGUUCGCAGGAAGUUAGGGUUCCUGAGCUUCCCACAAUGUGACAGGUCCUAGUGUCCAUGUGGGCACCAUACUGGCCCUGCCAGUCUCCCUGCAGUGCACCUGGCUUCCAGGUCUCAAAAUUCAAUCUGCUUCUCUGUUCCGGCUACUGGGCCCCUGCCAAGUCCUUCUGAAUGUGUAGCAACUGCCGAACAUUCUAAGAAAUGCCUCCGGGGGUUUUCUUGGGAGCCCGGGUGAGGCAGGAAGUCCCCUGGGCUGAGGUGGUAGCAGAUGGCACCUGCGCUCUGGGUGGGGGUGUCUCCUUGGGGUGCAGGCUAGUGAACUGGAGGCAGGAGUGUGAGUCCUAGUCCUGGGGCUCCUGCCAGUGGCCAGCACCUAUCCAUGAUCCAAGGGCUCCCCACCUGCUCUAUUUACAGACCUUGAGCUCUGGAAAGUGGUGUCCCCAGGGCCACAGAGCUAUGCAGGCCAGGGGCUGGGACUGACUCACUCCCCAUGGCAGCAUGUGGCCAACCAAGGGUUGUUAUCUGAUGGCCUGUUAUUAGUUUCUGUUCAGAUGAAUCUGUAUCAACUCUAUGCAGCUGAGUCCUACUGGCUGGGCUCAAGGAGAAGGAGAAAAUUAUAAUAACUGAAAAAAAUUGGUAUUUUGACAAGUAAGUACAUAUUUUCGAAUCCAGCCAGUCCAGGCUCUGCUAUCUCCAGGUGACUGAUGCAAGAUAAUGUCCUUUCGUGGCUCUCAGAAGAUUUCCCUAGAUUGUCUCACUGGUUGCCUCCAGGUCCCCUCUCUUCCUCUGUUCCUUUCUCCCCAGCCCCCACCCCUCUUUCAUGCUUCUAAACUCAAGGGUCACACAGUCACCUGAACACACCAAUCACAAUGGCAUCAUUAUAGUUCCAAAGCUACCAAAAAAAAAAAAAAGGUGUGCGUCUUGGAGGGGGGGGCACGGUGAGGAUGGUGGGGUCCAGGAAUUUAGCCGCACCCAGGAGAGCAGUACAAUCGACUAUUGUUGUGUCAGAAGUUUCCCGGUGAUAAGAAGGGAGUUUAGAAAUGCCGCUUUCUGAGCGGAUUGCGAAACAGAAUAGAAAGUUCAAGGCUGAGAGAUAGCUGAGAACAGGGAGCAGCCCCUCCAGGAGGCCCCCAGGCCUCAGGCUGACCAGCCCCUUGACAACAGGAAGGGGGGCCUAGUUCAAUCAUCCCCCUCCACCUUCCCCCCCAUUCCCAGGAGGACCAGGACAUCAGAGAGCUCGCUUCUUCUCUGAGGGUUUUGUAGAAAUUCUUUAAAGCAGCUUUGGACCAUUGAGGGCCUGCCUGGUGCCAGGCACCUGUUGUAUUUACCUCCAUUAUCUCAUUUCUCAGGGCUUCCCAGGUGGUGCUAGUGGUAAAGAACCCACCUGCCAAUGCAGGAGACCUAAGAGUUGCAGGUUCGAUCCCUGGGUCAGGAAGAUUUCCUGGAGGAGGAAAUGGCAACCCAUUCCAGUAUUCUUGACUGAAGAAUCCCAUAGACAGAGGAGCCUGGCAGGCUACAGUCAAUGGGGUUGCACAGAGUCGGACACGUCUUGGCACAUCUCAUCCCUCACACCCAUGCUGUGUGGAAGGUGGCAGCUCCCUCCUAACUUGGAUGGGCAGGCAGUCGAAGCACACAGAUUGGGAUCUGAACCCCACUACACUGCCUCUCGUUUAUCCUGUAAGCCUGUGCCUUCAGAUUUGUGGGGAGGACCAACUCCUCCUUGAGCAUCCUAGGUCAUUUCCAAUUUGUGCAUUCUCUCCCUCGGGACUUUGUCUAAUGGUAUCCGUGAGGCCCAGGCCAGGUUACAGAGGCGGGCCAUGCUCCCUUCCUGCUCAUUGCUUUCUGGUGAGAGCCACCCCUCCCCCAUUCCAGGAGCUGAUUUUGGCCAGUCUUUCCCUGGGACACCUGUCCUUGAGUUGUCAUCCUCCCAUGGGCAUUAGCAACCUAGAGGGCAGAAGAUGAGGGCAAGAGGAAUUGCAGUGAUCCAGCACUGGUCACUAGCAGCUGUGACCUCAGGCAGGUCGCUGAACCUCUCUGUGCCUCAGUUUCCUAAUGGAAAAAAUGGGGAUAAUAAUAGCCCUACCCUGUAUGACCACUAGGAGGAAUAACAGAAGGUGCCUGGCUGAUGCCUGUUCCAUCUGGGGGCUCCCAAAGCAUUCACUUCAGCCUAAGCCCGUCAUCAUAUAGACUAACUAACCAGUGUGGCCCAGAAAUUCAGGGCCUCCCUUAUUCUGAAUCUUGUGCUAUUGCCAUCACGUCGUGCCAGGCUCUUGACUCUCCCCUGGCAGGCACAUACCUCCCUUUGGAAGUGGGAAGCAGCUGGGGUCCCCGGACAACUGCCACAGCGUGGGAGGCCUCCACUGCGCGUAGAGAGGUUGAAGAGGGGCAGAGACAGCACUUCCAGUCAAGCCUUGUGACAUCAUUCCUCAGCUCUAUGUGUGAAAUGUAAUAAACAGAAGGUUCAUUUAAAAUGAAAUUGGGGGAAUUCCCUGGCAGUCCAGGGGUUAGGACUCAGCCUUUCACUGUCAAGGGCACAGGUUCAAUGCCUGGUCAGGGAACUAAGAUCCCGCAAGCCUCAAGGUGUGGCCAAAAAAAUUUGGAAAAAAAAAAAAAAAAGGAACUGGGAGGCCAGAGCAGGAGCUCUCAUAGUCUACCAUUCAGUAUCAGUUGCAGACCCAACAGGAAGAGAAUAUCUCACAUCUCCAUCAAGAAGGUUACUACUUUUCUAUCCAGCAAGAGAAAGAAGAAUUUCUCUCAGCCUGGCAACAACCCAGCCAUUGAGAGGUUGCCACAACUCAGCCAAUGAAAAGCCACAACACUUCCAACUCCUAGUUUCCUCCAAUGAGCUCUUUUGGUUAUAACAGCCCCUCCCAACUCCCUUUCUCCUCUAUAAAAGAAAGUGCCCCUGCUUUGUUCUCCUGAUUUGCCUGUGGUUUG